UUAAGCAGUAAAGUUUAGAGAUUUUUUUUUGAUUAGAUUUAACUCAUUAAAGUUCUGUUUUUCCAGUAGGUGUAUUACUUCUGGAUUUUUUGGAAUUCAUUAUUGGAUCAAGAAUCUUAUCAUGCUGAAAGAAUGAAUCAGGCUCCUCCUGUCUGCUGGGAAACAAAGGACACAAGGGCAACGACAGGUGGGCAUAGAAAAGAAAAACACAUGGCCUCUAUCCUGGUUAACACUUGUCUGCAGGGCACCUGCACUUUCUCACCAAAAGGUACCUUUU